rnacentral:rRNA from 1 species
CCUACGGGAGGCAGCAGUGGGGAAUAUUGCACAAUGGGGGGAACCCUGAUGCAGUCAUGCCGCGUGUGUGAAGAAGGCCCUCGGGUUGUAAAGCACUUUCAGUGAGGAAGAACGCCUGGUGGUUAAUACCCAUCAGGAAAGACAUCACUCACAGAAGAAGCACCGGCUAACUCCGUGCCAGCAGCCGCGGUAAUACGGAGGGUGCGAGCGUUAAUCGGAAUUACUGGGCGUAAAGCGCGCGUAGGUGGCUUGAUAAGCCGGUUGUGAAAGCCCCGGGCUCAACCUGGGAACGGCAUCCGGAACUGUCGAGCUAGAGUGCAGGAGAGGAAGGUAGAAUUCCCGGUGUAGCGGUGAAAUGCGUAGAGAUCGGGAGGAAUACCAGUGGCGAAGGCGGCCUUCUGGACUGACACUGACACUGAGGUGCGAAAGCGUGGGUAGCAAACAGGAUUAGAUACCCCUGUAGUC